rnacentral:rRNA from 1 species
UAGAUUUAUCUUUAAACCUAAAGAAUUUGGCGGUGUUUUAGUCUAUUCAGAGGAAUUUGUCCUAUAAUCGAUAUUCCCCGUUUUAUCUUACUUUAUUUUGUUAUUCAGUUUGUAUACCGCCGUUAUAAGUUUAUUUAUUUAGAAUUAUUUACUUUAAAUUUUAUUUUAUAUUAUUUCAGGUCAAGGUGCAGUUUAUGAUAAAGGAUUGAUGAAUUACAAUAUAUUUUGUAUAUUAUGGAUAUAAUUUUUAUAAUUUUAUUGAAGGUGGAUUUGAUGGUAAUUUUAUAAAUUAUUUUAUUUUGAUUUUAGCUCUAAAAUGAGUACACAUCGCCCGUCGCUCUA